rnacentral:rRNA from 1 species
UACGUAGGCAGCAAGCGUUGUUCGGAGUUACUGGGCGUAAAGGGUGUGUAGGCGGUUGGUUAAGUUUGGUGUGAAAUCUCCCGGCUCAACCGGGAGGGUGCGCCGAAUACUGAAUGACUAGAGUGCGGGAGAGGAAAGUGGAAUUCCUGGUGUAGCGGUGAAAUGCGUAGAUAUCAGGAGGAACACCGGUGGUGUAGACGGCUUUCUGGACCGUAACUGACGCUGAGGCACGAAAGCGUGGGGAGCAAACAGG